GACGAACGCUGGCGGCGCGCUUAACACAUGCAAGUCGAACGGAAAGGCCUGCUUUCCCUUGUGGAUUGCGGGUACUCGAGUGGCGAACGGGUGAGUAACACGUGAGUGAUCUGCCCCCAACUUGGGUAUAAGCCUGGGAAACUGGGUCUAAUUCCCGAUAGGACUGCAGGGUGGUGCCUGUGGUGGAAAACGAUUUUCUAGUGGUUGGGGAUGAGCUCGCGGCCUAUCAGCUUGUUGGUGGGGUAAUGGCCUACCAAGGCGGCGACGGGUAGCCGGCCUGGGAGGGUGAGAGGGGGAAGUGGAACUGAGACACGGUCCAGACGCGGACGGGAGGCAGCAGUCGGGAAUGGUCCGCGAUGGGCGAGAGCGUGAGGGAGCAACGCCGCGUGAGUGAGGAAGGUCGGCGGAGCGGAAAGGUCUGUUAUGAGGGAAGAAGAUAUGUGUAAGGAAAUGGGCACAUCGUGACGGUACCUAAUAAGAAGGACAAGGCUAACUACGUG
rnacentral:rRNA from 1 species